rnacentral:lncRNA from 1 species
GGCAUAGUCAGGAAUGCUCUGUCGUUUCACAUUUCAAAAUUGGACAGUUUUUAAAUUCUUGACAGUUUGAGAAAGCAAGAAGAGAAAUAAAUUGAAAAAGAAGAAAUAAAACUAUUAUAGUUCCCAGAUAAUGAUACUAUUUGGAAAACUUGAGAUUUACAUUAUUCAAAAUAAUACAAGGUUUUAGAAAACCUUCUGAAUACCCACUAUUAAAAUACAGCGUGUAUUUGACUGCCUACAAAUUGGGAGGAAAUUGUAAGUUUUAAAAUAGCACAUCAGUAAAGAUAAAAUAUAGUAUAGAAGACCCGCAGAGGGGCAGUUUUAUUGAAAUAUGAUAAACCAAGUGUGUGUAAGGCAAAUAAAUUUUAUCCAUAAAUUGACGAUUCAGAAGCUGAAUUGAGUCGCUAUUCUCCUCAUUCAUUUGCACAUCCAGGCCAGUUCUCGUGAAAGUCCAAAGCAAUUUUCAAUGACUUUGGUAAGCAGUUGUUAAAAUGUAUAUGAAAGUACAGUGCAAUAAGACAACCCUUUCAAAUGAUUGCUAAAAAAACAUGAAAUUUAUAUAAUAAAAGCUGAAAUUUAGAUAGAAGAGCAAAUGAGUAGCCAGAAUAGUAAGGAACCUAGGUCCAGCUGUGGGCAUAGAUACUCUUUAGUAGCUGGAAAAUUAUUGAAAGCAUGAGAGAGGACGUAAGCACCACUACACGGAAGAGGAAAGAGAAAUCCACCUUCCAUCGCAUUUGUCUGUCUGUCCAUCCAACCAAAUAUGAACAGUAAGUCCAAACUGAGGGAGACAAGGGUGAGAGAAACAUGCUGGAGAAGGACACCACCCGAUCUUUGGUUUUGAAAGAAAACGUUCUGUGAAGGAAAGGAAUGAGAAAAGGACAGCAUUACCGUUAGUAACUAACAUUUCUGGAAGGACUACCUCUAAGAACAUCAAAACAUAAGCCCGAAACUAAAAGAAAGUAUUGAAACUAGGUAACUGAGUCAAUCUCAGAGACUACCUGUGGGUCCCUGGCAUGAGUCGGCUUGCCACAAAAUAAGCCUUGGUAGCAGAGAACUGUAUUGCAGACUGCAAGGAAGUAGAAAUGGAAAAGCGAGGUCAACCUACCUGAGACCCGUGAAAUUGAUUUGAGUAUUCUGAAUUCAAGAACGAUGGGAAGUUAGGGGAACUCUUAGUCUCCGUGCACAGGAGAAUACACUGGCACAACAGCUUUCAAAAAGCAAUUUGUUACUGUCGGCCAAAAUAUGUUCAACAAUUUUAUCUCUUGUUAAACAAUAAUAUAGUCUCCUUAUAGGAAAAGUGUAGCAUAUCUGACAUCUCAGCUAACGUGAGCAUGAAUGAAUACCCUGUGGUGCACUCACAGAGCCGCAGUAUGUGAGCAUUGAAUCAGCUGCCCACUACUAGUGGAGUCUGAACUUGCUAUUUGGGCACAAAUGCGCACAGCAAAAUACAGUAUAAGCCCUUUGUUACAAAGUCCUGCCAAAAUAGAGAUAUGUAAUUAAAAUAAAAAUGCAGUUAAAAUUAAAAGCAAACAGUGGCAAGAAUGAUAAUAUUCUGACAAAAUUCUGCACUGGGGUUAAUGACUGAAAAGUGGUCAGGAAGGCUCCUUCUGGACUGUGGUGUCUUAUCAUUCGUCACCUCAGUAGCUGGGGUUAUGUCACUGUUCAUUGUGCUGUGCAUUUUAUUUCACAUAUUGUCAACUUGGUACUUUAGAAAUAAAAUCACCGUGGGCAGUAUCUUAUCUUUCACAAUUAUGUGGCUAUAAAAUGAAUAUAACAUAGUUCUUAGUAUUUGAGGACUUAGAAAGAAAGAAGGGUUAAAACUGUGUCUCAUUUUUACAUUAUGAAAAAUUUAUGCUACUCCAUUGUUGUUGUUGUUGUUGUUAUAAGGACAAAUCUCAGCUACCUGGAACCCACUAUGAAAACCAGGAUGGCCCUGAACUAAGAAAAGUCUCCUUGCUAGACAUUGCAAGUGAUAAGACUAUAGGUAUGAACUACUACGCCCAGCAGUCAUGGUAGUUCCUAAAAUAAACAAAUAUCCUUGGCCAGCCCACUAACUCAGGAUAUAUAUUAUGGGGCUUACAUCUGUGGGGAUUUAUGGGAAGGGGCUGGACGCAAUCAGACCCUGGGACAUACUACUUAAAGCUUCAAGGAUCACUGAGGUAAAGACCUUGGCAUCUUUGCCUUAAUAGGCACUUGGCAAGGAAUUGCUUCCAGAAAGUACAUGAGAUUCAUGUGAGGACAGGAAUGGAAUUCCCUUUCGGGGAACAGAGAGUGAGGUUCUCUUUGUCAUUCGUAUGCCUGUACAUUAUGAAUGUAAAUUACAUUGAUAGCACUGGGGGUUCAUUCUUGGUGCUGGUAUGAUCCUUUUAUAAUUGAUAGUCUUCUAUAUGUUCAUAAUUGUACAAAUCAGCUUUAACACGAAUUAUAACCAAGCACAUAUUUUCUGAGGUUUGAUUCAUUGUGUGUCACAGAAUUACUAAAGCAAGAGUAACAUGUGUCCCUCUUGUAACCAGCUGUCUGGUUCUGCAGAUUAAAAAUUCAAGACAACACAAAUACCUCAGCUCUUCCCACAGUUGCACUGUCAUCAAAAUAAGUACCUAAUUGUUUCCUGAUCAAGGAAAAUGAAACCCAAGAAGCACUGCCAGUUUGAAAUUGCAGAGUGCCAUUUGGAUUAUAGAAGUCCGCUUUGGCUGUUGACUACUUACUGCAAGAUCUCAGUGGGAAGACAGAGAUCAAGGGUUGUCUCUUGGCCUUGGAGUUGUUUAUCAGAAACAUAAAGACGAGUGGCAUCUAUCAAGUUGCCAAUAGGAAGCAUUUAUUAAAAUUGAACUAAAAUUGAGUCAUGGAGCAUACAUUUUUGUCUCCCAAGAUGCUUGCUAUUUUGCUGUGUGCUUGCAAACACUGUACACACACACACACACACACACAAACACUAUAGAAAAUUUACAUUGUUUUUGAGGCAACUUGUGAAAAGUCCAAUGGCCAUAGUAUAAGACAGUCUUUGCAGUGAGGACUUUGAGGGUGCAAGUGUGAAUUUUGGGGCUUCUUCGCUAACGUUUUUACAUGUAUGUUGAUUUUGUUUUCUGUUCUAGAGAGAACUGUAGCAAUACAAGUGGUGUUGAAGAGGUAGAGUCUGUUUACUGUAGACCGGAGAUGUAGGUGGUAGGCAGUGAUGGUUGAGGUCCAGGUGAAAGGAGGUGGAGGAGUCCCGUGUGGGCUUUCUGUUGCUGCCUUUUGUAUUUUCUCUUCAAUUGUUUGCCAACAAAUGUUCAAGGAAGAGAGUCUUUCCCGCCAGAGCAAGGGCAGCCAUGUUCAUAUCAGUAUAUGCAGACCUGGUAUUCUGCUGUCCCUACGUGUACAAAAAUCAUGCAGUCUUCUUCUCGUUGCCUUUACUUUGGAAAGUAAAGACCCAAGCAACCAGAACCAAAGUGAUUGUUGUUUCAAUCCUGUGGACACACAUAGAGCUUAGAGGCAGGCGCUGAGCCCUGUGUGAGGCUGUGUGAGCGUGAGAAGUGUUGCAGUCAUUGUGGUUGGUUGCUAGGGAAUCUUAAGGUUUUCGUUCACCAGGCAGAUGAUAAGUCAGGGCAUAGAAUGGUCAGUAAGGAAAAGGAGUGUCACGGCUUGCCUGCUGACUCAGUUUCUCCCGAAGUCCAUGAGGUCUGCCAUGUGACUUAGAUUUCUCUGUAGAAUGGGAUCUUUAUAUGGUCUUAGCUGUUUGAAGGGAAUGUCAGCCCUAUUGGGGAGAUUCUCUAAGACGGACAAACUCCCAUGUAUAUCCCAAGAUGGGUCUUUGGUUGUGUUUCUAGCCAUGAAGGUAGAGAAGGAAAUAUUCUCAGCCUCAUCACCCCUUUAAACCUCCUACUCUACCUUACAGCAGAUUUAAAGAGAUGUUAUCACCACAGUGGCGUAGCAGGUUCCUGGGUGUGGAUGCAUUACAGUUCCUGUGUGGAUGAAAGAGUUAGGGAUUCAUUAUGGACUACCUUUGGAAGUAUAGUGGUUGUUCUGUGCAACCACACUC